rnacentral:rRNA from 1 species
GUAGUCCACGCCGUAAACGAUGAGUGCUAAGUGUUAGGGGGGUUUCCGCCCCUUAGUGCUGCAGCUAACGCAUUAAGCACUCCGCCUGGGGAGUACGACCGCAAAGGUUGAAAACUCAAAGGAAUUGACGGGGACCCGCACAAGCGGUGGAGCAUGUGGUUUAAUUCGAAGCAACGCGAAAGAACCUUACCAAAUCUUGACAUCCUCUGAUCCCUCGUAGAGAUAGAGGUUUCCCCUUCGGGGGACAGAGUGACAGGUGGUGCAUGGUUGUCGUCAGCUCGUGUCGUGAG